AACUUGACUUCCUAACUACUUUUUAUCUUUUCCUUAUUUUUUAUUUUUUUUUUUUUUUUUAAUCUAAAAAAUUCAGGGGCUGGGUAAGAUUUUUUAAUAAUUUCUUACUUUUUUAGUCCCUUUUUUUAUGGACUUUGGCUUUUAAUUAAUUCACUUAACAUAGAUAAAGUGCUCUACUAAGAUAAUGUGGGGAAA
rnacentral:tRNA from 1 species